UACGGGGGGGGCAAGCGUUGUUCGGAAUUACUGGGCGUAAAGGGCUCGUGGGCGGCCAACUAAGUCAGACGUGAAAUCCCGGGGCUCAACCUCGGAACUGCCUUUGAUACUGCGGGUCUUGAGUCCGAUAGAGGUGGGUGGAAUUCCUAGUGUAGAGGUGAAAUUCGUAGAUAUUAGGAAGAACACCGGUGGCGAAGGCGGCCCACUGGAUCGGUACUGACGCUGAGGUGCGAAAGCGUGGGGAGCAAACAGG
rnacentral:rRNA from 1 species